rnacentral:rRNA from 1 species
AACGAACGCUGGCGGCAUGCCUAACACAUGCAAGUCGAACGAGACCUUCGGGUCUAGUGGCGCACGGGUGCGUAACGCGUGGGAACCUGCCCUUAGGUUCGGAAUAACUCCCCGAAAGGGGUGCUAAUACCGGAUAAUGUCUUCGGACCAAAGAUUUAUCGCCUUUGGAUGGGCCCGCGUUGGAUUAGCUAGUUGGUAGGGUAAAAGCCUACCAAGGCGACGAUCCAUAGCUGGUCUGAGAGGAUGAUCAGCCACACUGGGACUGAGACACGGCCCAGACUCCUACGGGAGGCAGCAGUGGGGAAUAGUGGACCAUGGGCGAAAGCCUGAUCCAGCAAUGCCGCGUGAGUGAUGAAGGCCUUAGGGUUGUAAAGCUCUUUUACCCGGGAUGAUAAUGACAGUACCGGGAGAAUAAGCUCCGGCUAACUCCGUG